UUUUUAAUUUUUUUGCGACUCAUGGCAAACAUAACGCACGUGCACGAUAUAUAUUAACCCCGUUAUAUUGUUUUUGACGUUUGCGAAAUGUUUAAGCUCGCUGCUCAUUACUCACGCGUCUAGGGGCGGCGUUGUGGCGCGAAAAGUGCGUUCUCAAAGGGUGGAAAAUACGCGUUGCUGCGGUAUAGAGGGAGGGUGGAAACCGUGGUAAACUCGUCUCCGUAGUUGAGCGGGAGAGUAAGUAGCAUAGGGCAUUAUCCAUUGUUAGGCAACGGUUGUAAUGGUAGCAAGAAUGUACAAUCGUCAUUGUUGUGGACCUGGGCGUGGCAAGCAUAAGGGACGAAGGGGGGGUAACAUGUC
rnacentral:misc_RNA from 1 species